GGGCAGUGACAGGGGCAAAGAGCCUGUGUGGAGAGCACCUGAGAGAGAAGGCGGGAGGGGCUGCCUCCUGCAGUCCCUGGAGUGAGAGGCAGUGGCAUCUGGAAAACCAAGGCUGAGACCUUACAGGAUGCUAGUGGUUGGGGGAGCAGAGAGCAGGCAAAGUGCCUGUGGGAGCCAGAGCCCGAAGACUCUCUGGGAGGAACCAGGACCUCCAAGGACCAGCCCAGGGCUGCCCCCAGUCUUCAGCAGGACACCUGUGGCCUGGGCUCAGCUUGCCCGUGUGGUCAGAGUGCCUGUCCUCGUCGGGAAGUGAUGUCACGUGCCAUGUUCCUAUUCAAAGCUGUUCAUUAGCAUGAUGCUCUGGCCUGUCAGACCACCACCACCACCACCCC